GGAUAACCUGCCCUGCGGUGGGAAAUAACUCCGGGAAACUGGGGAUAAUGUCCCAUAGGCUACGGAUGCUGGAAUGCCCUGUAGCUCAAAGAUUUAUCGCCACAGGAUGGGUCUGCGGCCGAUUAGGUAGUUGUUGGGGUAACGGCCCAACAAGCCUUUGAUCGGUACGGGUUGUGGGAGCAAGAGCCCGGAGAUGGAUUCUGAGACACGAAUCCAGGCCCUACGGGGCGCAGCAGGCGCGAAAACUUUACAAUGCGGGAAACCGUGAUAAGGGAACUCCGAGUGUCCGUAAAUGCGGACUGUCCGUAUGUUUAAAAAGCAUGCGAAGAAAGGGCCGGGCAAGACCGGUGCCAGCCGCCGCGGUAAUACCGGCGGCUCGAGUGGUGGCCACUAUUACUGGGCUUAAAGCGUUCGUAGCUGGGUUGUUAAGUCUCUUGGGAAAUCUACCGGCUUAACCGAUAGGCGUCCGAGGGAUACUGGCAAUCUAGGGACCGGGAGAGGUGAGGGGUACUUCAGGGGUAGGAGUGAAAUCCUGUAAUCCUUGGGGGACCACCUGUGGCGUAGGCGCCUCACCAGAACGGCUCCGACAGUGAGGGACGAAAGCUGGGGGAGCAAACCGGAUUAGAUACCCGGGUAGUCCCAGCCGUAAACGAUGCGCGUUAGGUGUAUCGAUGACCACGAGUCAUCGAGGUGCCGAAGGGAAACCGUGAAACGCGCCGCCUGGGAAGUACGUUCGCAAGGCUGA
rnacentral:rRNA from 1 species